rnacentral:misc_RNA from 1 species
GGAAGGAUCAUUAAUGGAUUGUUUUGCAGUGAGCAAGUGCUUUCGCGCGCUUAUCACACACAAAACGCAAAUAUCCAAACUUGAUUUGCUUGAACGCAAAUUGCCCGUUAUCAAUUGACAAAUGGGCUGAUCAGUGAGCGACAUGCGAUUCUCCGCUAAUACUCUCGUGUGCAUCGAAUGCUUGUUGUCAACGAGCGCCGCCUAACCUCACACAACUCGUCAUGUUUUAAGCACAGUCGUGGGCAAUCACUGGACUGUGUGGAUGAGACCUGUGUGUAACCUGUGCACUAUGCUCAGUGUUGACUUCGGUUUAGUGUUGUGUGUAAUAAUAAUAACCUAAACCUAAAGCAGGCACACGAGAAGAGUGGAGCGUGAAUGCACUCAUUUGGAAGCUCUCCUUGCACAACUGAACUGGUGCCUAGUCCGCGGUUCCUGCACACUUUGUGUGUUUGGAUGCGGGGUGUCGAUACGAGUGUUCCGUCACUCAUUCGCUGCUAGGCUUAAAUAUCGUAGCCAACUCCACCACCAUAGAGGUGCUGACGAAGCCUCAGGUGCAAGGUUGCCUUAUACUUUGUGCGUGCACUUGUGCGCGUCAAAGAAAAGGUUUGGAAAACUACAUGUGUGCCCUAAAAAGCACGCAUGUAGUCUUUUCAUUACAUAAAACCAACUUUGAGCUAAAAUCAAAAUGAUUUUCAAUAGUGAUGUUGCACUUGUUGCAAUCAUUGCUAAAAAAGACAAUUACAACUGUUAGUGGUGGAUCACUCGGCUCGCUGGUCGAGGAAGAACGCAGCUAGCUGCGUUAAUCGGUGUAAAAUGCAGGACACGCCGAGCACUCGACAUUCGAACGCACAUUGCAGCCUUGGUCAUACCUUGGCUUCGUUUGUCUGAGCGUCGUUAAUAAGCCAAACUCCAUCAAAAGACCAAAUUGUCGUGUCCCGGCCCUCCGUUGGCCGACUCGUCUGGUCAAUUUCAAACACACAAUGCUUGUCAUUUUGAAGCGCCCGUACGCGUAAAAAGCCAACACUUGGUCGAUGCGUGUGUGUCACACACUUAGCCGUGUGCGACACAAUGUAGGGCUUUUGGCAAUACAAGCCAAUAUGCCUGAGCGUUAACCGUUUUAAAGUGUCUUUUUACAUCACAUGCGAACGUGGAUCACGUGGAUAUAUUUGACAUUAUGCGCAAGUGUUUUGACAACCUUUGAUAUGUGUUGUUAACUUGUUAACUUUCGACCUCAGAUCAAGCGAGAUUACCCGCUGAAUUUAAGCAUAUAACUAAGCGGAGGAAAAGAAACCAAACGGGAUUCCCCUAGUAACGGCGAGCGAACAGGGAACAGCCCAGCGCCAAGUCCUGACACUUGACGUGUUCAGGAGAUGCGGCGUUAGUGUUUUGGUGCAUCGUGUGCUGCCUCGUGUCUCAAGUUCCUUUGACAGGGACUCCCAGAGUGGGUGCUAGGCCCAUAGAGACUGCGAAGCUGGCACACGCAAACCAUUACAUUUUAGAGUCAGGUUGCUUGAGAGUGCAGCCUAAAGUAGGUGGUAAACUCCAUCUAAGGCUAAAUAUUACAGCGAGACCGAUAGCAAACAAGUACCGUGAGGGAAAGUUGCAAAGAACUUUGAAGAGAGAGUUCAAAAGGACGUGAAACCACUAACAGGUAAACGGGUGGAACCACGAAGUGUGCCUGGAGGGCGAUUCAGUUAUCAUCGCAGGUUGGCUGCGCUCACAUCGGGUACUUUCGUGCUGUGUGAGCGUGGUCUACAAUCGGUGAUGGUAAUGCAUUUCGUCCCUUCAGUGCUAAAGCCACGUCCGAUUAGGUGGCUGGAACGGCCGUAGUGUGUGUCUCUCGGAAGGUGGCCGUCAGGUGCUUGCGCUUGGCGGUGUUAUAGCCUUGAGGCCGUGCCGUUGCCUAGCGUGCUGAUCGGUGCAAGUUCUCCUUCUCUGGAGUAUUGCUAGUAAUGGGUCGGUGCGCUUGUGGUGCCAAUGCGGUCGCGUUAGUUUGUUCUUUCGUUUCUUCGGGAAUGUAAAGACUGGUUAGCGUCGGCUGUAUCGGUGCUGUUUGCGUGGCUGGCUUGUGCAAACGGUGGUGCGAGUAGGUCGGUCUCCACCCGACCCGUCUUGAAACACGGACCAAGGAGCCUACCAUGUACGCGAGUCGCUCGGUCUUGAAUAGGCCUGGGAGGCGCAAUGAAAGUAAUUCUACGAGGCUGUGCGCAUUCGUGCUAUCGGUCGCAGUAGUGGCCCGCUUCCUUCCUUUAUCGGGGAUAUGGCGGAGCUGGAGCGUAUACGGUGGUACCCGAAAGAUGGUGAACUAUGCCUGGGCAAGACGAAGCCAGAGGAAACUCUGGUGGAGGUCUGUAGCGAUUCUGACGUGCAAAUCGAUCGUCAGACCUGGGUAUAGGGGCGAAAGACUAAUCGAACCAUCUAGUAGCUGGUUCCCUC